rnacentral:lncRNA from 1 species
UACUCUCCUGACAUAAUCUAAUGUUUUGCUUUCGCUGUAAAGCCUUUUUGAAAUCGGACAAUGUGGUUAGAUUAACGAGGGUCUUGUCUUUAAAAUGGUGUAAAAUAGUCAUAUGUUUGAGAAAUUGAAGUUAUAGCAUUUUUGAGGUAUUUGUAUUUCGCGCCACGCGAUUCCACUGGCUGUUGACUAGGGUGGGACGUCCCACCUCGCCCAGGGAGGUUAACGGCUUCUACCCCCAAGCCAUAAGACUCCUGAACAGCUAAUCAAAUGGCUACUCGGACUAUUUUCAUUGACUCCAUAACAGUAUGCCAGUGGAAGAGAGGACAGUAUCAGGUGACCCAACAGGGGUUUGUGAAUACUAUCAUUUCACAUUGUAGCCAAUUGAAUUGCAGAAAUUCUGUGACCAAUUUUUCUGAAAUUCGGGUUGAAGUAAUAAAUAAUAAGGAAUUCCCCUCGAGCACGGCCAAAAUUUGGGGAAAAACAGACAUUAUUUCCCAUUGACCCCCUAGCGCCAACUUGAUUUUUUGUAAUGCAGAAACAAAACAUGGUGAAAAGCUGCUCUCUUGUUUAAUGUACAGUACACAUAACCUGGUCAAAAAUCCCAACCUAAUACUACCGCGCACGUAAAUUCAGCCUGUGAGAAAAGAACUGUGGCUUCAGGUUAUUCUGCGUGAGCGAGUGGGAAAUUGUGGGGAGCCAAGUAGGCUACACAAGUAGGCUACACAUAGCUAGCUAUGUAUGUGGAAAACAUUUCAUCAUCACAGUUAAGACAUUUAACUUGUUUAGUAUAGACCGUUUGUAACGACAUUCACUACUUGUAGCUGUAUACAGUAGUCCGUCUGUUUGCGUUGUUGGUCUUGGCCAUCUAAAUGUUCCGGUCGGUUGCUAGCUAGUGCUCACUCUGCUGCUAACACCAUCAUGAAAAGAGGCAUGAGGGAAGCCCUACAAUAUUUUGUUUUUCAAAGUAGUGAGAACGCUCUGGAGCAAUACUGAAAAAUAUUUUUUUUAAGACAUGUUUAGACAUAUUUCUUUUAAAAUGUACUUUUGUAAUUGACUUAAACAAGCAGACAAGAAAAUUGUUUUUGAAAACGUUUUUUUGUUGUUGCUGUGAGACAACGGGGUAACCUAGGUAACCACAGGUUGUUUUCCCCAAAGGCGGGUGGGGCGCGACGUUCUAUCUAAUAGUGAUGGGUCGUUCGCAAACGAGUCGGUUCUAAGAGCCGGCUCUUGUAGGUUAACGAUGGGAGCCGGCUCUUGUAGGUUAACGAUGGGAGCAGGCUCUUGUAGGUUAACGAUGGGAGCAGGCUCUUGUAGGUUAACGAUGGGAGCAGGCUCUUGUAGGUUAACGAUGGGAGCCGGCUCUUGUAGGUUAACGAUGGGAGCCGGCUCUUGUAGGUUAACGAUGGGAGCCGGCUCUUGUAGGUUAACGUUGGGAGCCGGCUCUUGUAGGUUAACGUUGGGAGCCGGCUCUUGUAGGUUAACGUUGGGAGCCGGCUCUUGUAGGUUAACGUUGGGAGACGGCUCUUGUAGGUUAACGUUGGGAGCCGGCUCUUGUAGGUUAACGUUGGGAGCCGGCUCUUGUAGGUUAACGAUGGGAGCCGGCUCUUGUAGGUUAACGAUGGGAGCCGGCUCUUGUAGGUUAACGAUGGGAGCCGGCAAACAAUACCAGAAGAGCCGAAUCUAUUUAUAAAAACAUUAAAAAAAUUAAGAUAUGAAUGAUCAAAAGAUUUAAAUGAAUAGAAUUAACAAAUUAAAAGAACGGAAAAAAAUAAAAUAAUAAUAUAGGCCUAAAUGCUCAAGCGCACACACAUUCAUUCUGACUGUCUGCUCAGACUAACAGCCUCACUGUUGUUCCUGUCAAUCAGACACGCAGUGUCAACCAAUGAACCAAAGGUGUGUGAGGGAGGGCCGAGCCAACUCACUCACAGUCACACAGCUGUGAAAACAGCUGUGAAAACAACAGCUGGAAAAUGAGUCAGAAGCACAGUAGCAUUUGGAUGCAUUUUAAUAAUGUAGACAAUGUUAGAGCACAGUAUAGAAUUUGCCAAAACAAAAUGUCAUAUAAAGCUGGUUCUACACACAACCUACACCGGCAUAUGGGAACUGUGCACCCAACUGUGAAGCUAGCUGUAGCGGAGCUUCGAGAAACUAGCGGGCCUGUUAGUGAUAGUGGUGGAGUCAGCACCUCCACACGUGGAGAUGUAUCCACUCAGUCAAGUAGCGCUACUAGUGAUAGUGGUGGAGAUGUAUCCACUCAGUCAAGUAGACCUGCUAGUGAUAGUGGUGGAGAUGUAUCCACUCAGUCAAGUAGGCCUGCUAGUGAUAGUGGUGGAGAUGUAUCCACUCAGUCAAGUAGGCCUGCUAGUGAUAGUGGUGGAGAUGUAUCCACUCAAACAAGUAGGCCUGCUAGUGAUAGUGGUGGAGAUGUAUACACUCAGUCAAGUAGGCCUACUAGUGAUAGUGGUGGAGAUAUAUCCACUCAGUCAAGUAGGCCUGCUAGUGAUAGUGGUGGAGAUGUAUCCACUCAGUCAAGUAGACCUGCUAGUGAUAGUGGUGGAGAUGUAUCCACUCAGUCAAGUAGGCCUGCUAGUGAUAGUGGUGGAGAUGUAUCCACUCAGUCAAGUAGGCCUGCUAGUG